rnacentral:tRNA from 2 species
GCGGGGAUGGCCGAGUCUGGCCAAAGGCGGCGGACUUAAGAUCCGCUCUCGUAGGAGUUCGUGGGUUCGAAUCCCUCUCCCCGCA